rnacentral:rRNA from 1 species
CGUACACUCCUGCGGGAGGCAGCAGUGGGGAAUAUUUGACAAUGGGCGCAAGCCUGAUCCAGCCAUGCCGCGUGAGUGAUGAAGGCCCUAGGGUUGUAAAGCUCUUUCACCGGUGAAGAUAAUGACGGUAACCGGAGAAGAAGCCCCGGCUAACUUCGUGCCAGCAGCCGCGGUAAUACGAAGGGGGCUAGCGUUGUUCGGAUUUACUGGGCGUAAAGCGCACGUAGGCGGACUAUUAAGUCAGGGGUGAAAUCCCGGGGCUCAACCCCGGAACUGCCUUUGAUACUGGUAGUCUUGAGUUCGAGAGAGGUGAGUGGAAUUCCGAGUGUAGAGGUGAAAUUCGUAGAUAUUCGGAGGAACACCAGUGGCGAAGGCGGCUCACUGGCUCGAUACUGACGCUGAGGUGCGAAAGCGUGGGGAGCAAACAGGAUUAGAUACCCUAGUAGUCCCAU